rnacentral:rRNA from 1 species
UACGAAGGGGGCUAGCGUUGUUCGGAAUUACUGGGCGUAGAGCGCACGUAGGCGGAUUGUUAAGUCAGAGGUGAAAUCCCCGGAGCUCAACUUCGGAACUGCCUUUGAUACUGGCAAUCUAGAGUCCGGAAGAGGUUAGUGGAAUUCCCAGUGUAGAGGUGAAAUUCGUAGAUAUUGGGAAGAACACCAGUGGCGAAGGCGGCUAACUGGUCCGGUACUGACGCUGAGGUGCGAAAGCGUGGGGAGCAAACAGG